GUCAUUAUCAAGCUGAGUGGUUAAGCGCUCGGCUUCCGAGCCUGGGGUCUUGGGUUCGAAUCUCAGUGAAGACU
rnacentral:tRNA from 1 species